ACGAACGCUGGCGGCGUGCUUCACACAUGCCAGUCGCACGGAAAGGCCCUGCUUUUGUGGGGUGCUCGAGUGGCGAACGGGUGAGUAACACGUGAGUAACCUGCCCUUGACUUUGGGAUAACUUCAGGAAACUGGGGCUAAUACCGGAUAGGAGCUCCUGCUGCAUGGUGGGGGUUGGAAAGUUUCGGCGGUUGGGGAUGGACUCGCGGCUUAUCAGCUUGUUUGUGGGGUAGUGGCUUACCAAGGCUUUGACGGGUAGCCGGCCUGAGAGGGUGACCGGCCACAUUGGGACUGAGAUACGGCCCAGACUCCUACGGGAGGCAGCAGUGGGGAAUAUUGCACAAUGGGCGGAAGCCUGAUGCAGCAACGCCGCGUGCGGGAUGACGGCCUUCGGGUUGUAAACCGCUUUCGCCUGUGACGAAGCGUGAGUGACGGUAAUGGGUAAAGAAGCACCGGCUAACUACGUG
rnacentral:rRNA from 1 species